ACAAUGAAGAGUUUGAUCCUGGCUCAGGAUGAACGCUAGCGACAGGCUUAACACAUGCAAGUCGAGGGGCAGCAUGAAGUUACUUCGGUAACUUUGAUGGCGACCGGCGCACGGGUGCGUAACGCGUAUGCAACCUACCCAUAACUCUUGGAUAGCCCAUGGAAACGUGGAUUAAUACAGGAU
rnacentral:rRNA from 1 species